rnacentral:rRNA from 1 species
UAAUGGCAGGUCAGCAUACUGCCGUGAAUACGUUCCCGGGCCCUUGUACACACCGCCCGUCACACCAUGAGAGUUGGAGAUACCCGAAGCCUGUGAGCUAACUUUUAGAGGCAGCAGUCGAAGGUAGAAUCAAUGAUUGGGGUGAAGUCGUAACAAGGUACC